CCUACGGGAGGCAGCAGUAAGGAAUCUUGCGCAAUGGGCGAAAGCCUGACGCAGCGACGCCGCGUGGGCGAUGAAGGCCUUCGGGUUGUAAAGCCCUUUUCUGGGGGACGAGGAAGGACGGUACCCCAGGAAUAAGUCACGGCUAACUACGUGCCAGCAGCCGCGGUAAAACGUAGGUGGCAAGCGUUAUCCGGAAUCACUGGGCGUAAAGGGCGCCUAGGCGGCCUUGCAUGUCUGGGGUAAAAUCCCUCGUCGCAACGGGGGGAGGUCCUCGGAAACUGUAAGGCUGGGGCCCAGGAGAGGGGAGCGGAACUUCUAGAGUAGCGGUAAAAUGCGCAGAUACUAGAAGGUACCGCGAUAGCGAGGGCGGCUCCC
rnacentral:rRNA from 1 species